UGCAAGUCGAACGGUGAAAGCGGAGCUUGCUCUGCUGGAUCAGUGGCGAACGGGUGAGUAACACGUGAGCAAUCUGCCCCUGACUCUGGGAUAAGCGCUGGAAACGGCGUCUAAUACCGGAUACGAGCUGCGAAGGCAUCUUCAGCAGCUGGAAAGAAUUUCGGUCAGGGAUGAGCUCGCGGCCUAUCAGCUUGUUGGUGAGGUAACGGCUCACCAAGGCGUCGACGGGUAGCCGGCCUGAGAGGGUGACCGGCCACACUGGGACUGAGACACGGCCCAGACUCCUACGGGAGGCAGCAGUGGGGAAUAUUGCACAAUGGGCGAAAGCCUGAUGCAGCAACGCCGCGUGAGGGACGACGGCCUUCGGGUUGUAAACCUCUUUUAGCAGGGAAGAAGCGAAAGUGACGGUACCUGCAGAAAAAGCGCCGGCUAACUACGUGCCAGCAGCCGCGGUAAUACGUAGGGCGCAAGCGUUAUCCGGAAUUAUUGGGCGUAAAGAGCUCGUAGGCGGUUUGUCGCGUCUGCUGUGAAAACCCGAGGCUCAACCUCGGGCCUGCAGUGGGUACGGGCAGACUAGAGUGCGGUAGGGGAGAUUGGAAUUCCUGGUGUAGCGGUGGAAUGCGCAGAUAUCAGGAGGAACACCGAUGGCGAAGGCAGAUCUCUGGGCCGUAACUGACGCUGAGGAGCGAAAGGGUGGGGAGCAAACAGGCUUAGAUACCCUGGUAGUCCACCCCGUAAACGUUUGGGAACUAGUUUGUGGGGACCAUUCCACGGUUUCCGUGACGCAGCUAACGCAUUAAGUUCCCCCCGCCUGGGGAGUACGGCCGCCAAGGCCUAAAACUUCAAAGGAAAUUGACGGGGACCCCGC
rnacentral:rRNA from 1 species